rnacentral:rRNA from 1 species
GACGAACGCUGGCGGCGUGCUUAACACAUGCAAGUCGAACGGAAAGGCCCUGCUUUUGUGGGGUGCUCGAGUGGCGAACGGGUGAGUAACACGUGAGUAACCUGCCCUUGACUUUGGGAUAACUUCAGGAAACUGGGGCUAAUACCGGAUAGGAGCUCCUGCUGCAUGGUGGGGGUUGGAAAGUUUCGGCGGUUGGGGAUGGACUCGCGGCUUAUCAGCUUGUUGGUGGGGUAGUGGCUUACCAAGGCUUUGACGGGUAGCCGGCCUGAGAGGGUGACCGGCCACAAUGGGACUGAGAGACGGAGCAGACUCCUACGGGAGGCAGCAGUGGGGAAUAUUGCACAAUGGGGGGAAGCCUGAUGCAGCAACGCCGGGUGCGGGAUGCCGGCCUUCGGGUUGUAAACCGCUUUCGCCUGUGACGAAGCGUGAGUGACGGUAAUGGGUAAAGAAGCACCGGCUAACUACGUG